GAUGAACGCUGGCGGUAUGCUUUACACAUGCAAGUCAUACGGAAGUUAGUUUCGGCUAACUUCAGUGGCGGACGGGUGAGUAACACGUGAGAAUUCGCCUUUAGGAGGGGGAUAACAGGGGGAAACACCUGCUAAAACCCCAUAUGCCUUCGGGUCAAAAGAGAAAUCUGCCUAAAGAGAAGCUCGCGGCUGAUUAGCUAGUUGGUGGGGUAAAGGCCUACCAAGGCGACGAUCAGUAGCUGGUCUGAGAGGAUGAUCAGCCACACUGGAACUGAGACACGGUCCAGACUCCUACGGGAGGCAGCAGUGAGGAAUUUUCUGCAAUGGGCGAAAGCCUGACAGAGCAAUACCGCGUGAGGGAAGAAGGCUUACUGAGUUGUAAACCUCUGUUACCUAAGGAGGAAGAUCUGACGUUACUUAGGAGACGAAGCAUCGGCUAACUCCGUGCCAGCAGCCGCCGUAA
rnacentral:rRNA from 1 species